GCUCAUUCUAAAAAAAAAAAAACUCUAUGCUACAAAAUAAUAGUUUGCCACAGUUCGAUUGAAAUCAAAUUCUGAAAUAAAAGCAAAAUCAAAAUUAAUGAAAAUAUGAUAGAUCAAAGUCGAACUAAACUCAACUAGUUCAAUCGGAUUCCCACUCAAAAUCAAAUUUUUUUUUUUGCUUUGCAAAAAUUAAAAAUUUUAAAAAAAUUUCAGCCAUUAGAUUUAAUUAAAAUUGGUAUCGAAUUGAAUCUGAAACCAAAAAUAAGAGAUAGAGAAUCAUGCACAUUGAUUUUGAUUUCUUAAAUUAAAAUGGCUAAUUCCGGUAUAGAUCUAUCUGGUAUAGACCUAUCCGGCGCCCACCCUUAGUCACAAGGUCCCUCACAGGGGUCUAGGAUCCACUAAGAUAGAUAAUGAGAUAUCCCUUUAUCUA
rnacentral:misc_RNA from 1 species